UUUUUAGUAUAAGUAUGUCUCAUGCUCUAUUGGGACAUACUUAUGCUAACA
rnacentral:pre_miRNA from 1 species